rnacentral:rRNA from 1 species
ACGAACGCUGGCGGCGUGCUUAACACAUUCCAGUCGAACGGAAAGGCCCUGCUUUUGUGGGGUGCUCGAGUGGCGAACGGGUGAGUAACACGUGAGUAACCUGCCCUUGACUUUGGGAUAACUUCAGGAAACUGGGGCUAAUACCGGAUAGGAGCUCCCGCUGCAUGGUGGGGGUUGGAAAGUUUCGGCGGUUGGGGAUGGACUCGCGGCUUAUCAGCUUGUUGGUGGGGUAGUGGCUUACCAAGGCUUUGACGGGUAGCCGGCCUGAGAGGGUGACCGGCCACAUUGGGACUGAGAUACGGCCCAGACUCCUACGGGAGGCAGCAGUGGGGAAUAUUGCACAAUGGGCGGAAGCCUGAUGCAGCAACGCCGCGUGCGGGAUGACGGCCUUCGGGUUGUAAACCGCUUUCGCCUGUGACGAAGCGUGAGUGACGGUAAUGGGUAAAGAAGCACCGGCUAACUACGU